rnacentral:rRNA from 1 species
GACAGAGGGUGCAAACGUUGUUCGGAAUUACUGGGCGUAAAGCGCGUGUAGGCGGCUCGGCAAGUCGGGUGUGAAAGCCCUGGGCUUAACCUAGGAAGUGCACUCGAAACUGCCAAGCUUGAGUUCUGGAGAGGAAGGCGGAAUCCUCGGUGUAGAGGUGAAAUUCGUAGAUAUCGAGAGGAACACCGGUGGCGAAGGCGGCCUUCUGGACAGCAACUGACGCUGAGACGCGAAAGCGUGGGGAGCAAACAGG